rnacentral:rRNA from 1 species
AGGAUGAACGCUGGCGGCGUGCCUAACACAUGCAAGUCGAACGUCCUGUCUCGCAAGAGGCAGGGAGUGGCGGACGGGUGAGUACCACGUGGGUCAUCUACCGUGAGGUGAGGAAUACCGGCGAGAAAUCGCCGACAAAACCGCAUAGCCUCGGUGCAAAUCGAGGAAAG